GUGCUAUCGCUCCAGCGGCAGCACAUAUACUAAAAUUGGAACAAUACAGAGAAGAUUAGUAUGGCCCCUGCGCAAGGAUGACAUAAGCCCUUAACUCAGGGAAAACUUCCAU